rnacentral:rRNA from 1 species
UGGGGAAUAUUGCACAAUGGAGGAAACUCUGAUGCAGCGACGUCGCGUGAACGAUGAAGGUUUUCGGAUCGUAAAGUUUUGUCCUUGGGGAAGAUAAUGACGGUACCCGAGGAGGAAGCCCCGGCUAACUACGUGCCAGCAGCCGCGGUAAUACGUAGGGGGCGAGCGUUGUCCGGAUUUAUUGGGCGUAAAGGGUUCGCAGGUGGCCUUUUAAGUCAGAUGUGAAAGAUCAUAGCUCAACUAUGGUAAGCAUUUGAAACUGAAAGGCUUGAGUUAAGGAGAGGAAAGUGGAAUUCCUAGUGUAGCGGUGAAAUGCGUAGAUAUUAGGAGGAAUACCAGUGGCGAAGGCGACUUUCUGGACUUAUACUGACACUGAGGAACGAAAGCGUGGGGAGCAAACAGG